AACGAACGCUGGCGGCGCGCCUAAUACAUGCAAGUCGAGCGAGAAGACGUAGCAAUACGUUUGUAAAGCGGCGAACGGGUGAGGAAUACAUGGGUAACCUACCCUCGAGUGGGGAAUAACUAGCCGAAAGGUUAGCUAAUACCGCGUACGCUCCUUGGACUUCGGUUCAGGGAGGAAAGCGAUACCGUGGGUAUCGCGCUCUUGGAUGGGCUCAUGUCCUAUCAGCUUGUUGGUGAGGUAACGGCUCACCAAGGCCUCGACGGUAGCUGGUCUGAGAGGACGAUCAGCCACACUGGCACUGCGACACGGGCCAGACUCCUACGGGAGGCAGCAGUAAGGAAUAUUGCGCAAUGGGCAAAGCCUGACGCAGCGACGCCGC
rnacentral:rRNA from 1 species